AAUCUUAUGGUAAAUUUAAUAUAAGACAAUUUCUGCCCAAUGAUUAUUUUAAUGGCCGCAGUACCCUGACUGUGCUAAGGUAGCAUAAUAAAUUGGCUUUUAAAUGAAGUCUAGAAUGAAAGAACAUUUGGAUAAUGAUUGUCUUUUUUUUACUCUCUCGAAGUUAUUUAUUAGGUGAAAAAACCUAAGUUUUAAAGAAAGACGAGAAGACCCUUAGAAUUUUAAAAAGUUAUUAAUAAUUUUUUUUGUUGGGGUGACAUAUUAACAUUUUUAACUUCUCUUUAUUACAAGACCAAGAAUUUAGUUAGAAAAAAUUACCUUAGGGAUAACAGCAUAAUUUCCUUUUAAGAUUAUGACCUCGAUGUUGGACUAGGAACCUAAUAGUUAGUAAUUAAAUUGGUUAGUUCUGUUCGAACUAUACUCUCCU
rnacentral:rRNA from 1 species